rnacentral:rRNA from 1 species
UACGAAGGGGGCUAGCGUUGUUCGGAAUUACUGGGCGUAAAGCGCACGUAGGCGGACUAUUAAGUCAGGGGUGAAAUCCCGGGGCUCAACCCCGGAACUGCCUUUGAUACUGGUAGUCUCGAGUCCGGAAGAGGUGAGUGGAAUUCCGAGUGUAGAGGUGAAAUUCGUAGAUAUUCGGAGGAACACCAAUGGCGAAGGCAGCUCACUGGGACGGUAUUGACGCUGAGACGCGAAAGCGUGGGGAGCAAACAGG